GACGAACGCUGGCGGCGUGCUUAACACAUGCAAGUCGAACGGUAAGGCUCCAGCUUGCUGGGGUACACGAGUGGCGAACGGGUGAGUAACACGUGGGUGACCUGCCCUGCACUUCGGGAUAAGCCUGGGAAACUGGGUCUAAUACCGGAUAGGACCAUGGUGUGGAUACUGUGGUGGAAAGUUUUUUCGGUGUGGGAUGGGCCCGCGGCCUAUCAGCUUGUUGGUGGGGUAAUGGCCUACCAAGGCGGCGACGGGUAGCCGGCCUGGGAGGGUGGACGGCCCCAUUAGGACUGGGACACGGCCCAGACUCGUACGGGAGGCAGCGGUGGAGAAUAUUGCACAAUGGGCGGAAGCCUGAUGCAGCGACGCCGCGUGGGGGAUGACGGGCUUCGGGUUGUAAACUACUGUCACCAUAGACGAAGGGUUUCUGACGGUAGAUGGAGAAGAAGCACCGGCUAACUACGUG
rnacentral:rRNA from 1 species